rnacentral:tRNA from 1 species
GGUUCCGUGGCGCAAUCGGUUAGCGCGUUCGGCUGUAAACCGAAGGUUUGGUUUUUCGAGCCCACCCGGGAGCG